ACGAGUUCGAAAGUCGGUCGACCGUGCUGGCGGAGACGCACGUGCACGUCGGUCGCGAACCAUCCACACACCCGUGAACCUAUGGCCCGGAGUCCCAGAUUCCGGGCACAAAUUUUCCACACUCUGUCAGUAAAGGAAUGUCCGAUAUGAUAUAACGUAUCUUAUA
rnacentral:misc_RNA from 1 species